AGACAUUACACGAUGAUCUACUGUCUGGAAAGAUCCGCUCCAACAGAAUGUUCCUUUGGAGGAAUCCCGCCACCUCACUCCGACUAAAGCAGCAUCUUAAGAUAAGGACACUAAGUUGGAGUGAGCAGCGCGUAAGUAAAAAUGCCAUCCAUCAUGAGUAUUUUUACUCUCAGGGGUGUUACAUUUGAAAGGUGUUUACUUUCUGUGUUUUUCUUCAAUAGAUGUUCGAGCUCCUGCGGUUCAUUGAGGUGGCAACAAACAUUUCUAAAAAAAUAAAGAGAGGCGAGAUUUAUCUGCUUGAUUUCGUUUUUGACGUCAUGCUCCCAGAGGUGAGUAGAUCAAACUAUAUAGCUUGCUUUGAAAAUUGAUGAUAUUGUUAAGAGGUUGUUCUUAUUCAUUUGGAAAGCUCAAGAACAACAAUUAACCCAUACUGCAUAACUUCAAUUGUUCACAUUAUUUGACUGUUUUUCAGCUUUUGAUCAAAGCACUGAAGGAGCAUGGCAUCAACCGGUUCAGAGCAGAGCUGAUGAUGGCCUGUGGCAACGUGUUUUAAGCCCCCCACCACACCGACGGCAGUGCUGAAUUUUGUAUAUAUAUAUAUAUUUUUUUACUGUUCACAAUUUUGUUUGGAAAAAAUUAAAGAAAUCUUCAAAGCAGUUGUAUGACAAUUUCUCAUUUCUUUACACAGUCUGUAAUGAUAUCGCUAUUCAAUUGUUUUUGCUAUAUGGCUCUUCUGAACCUUAAAGAGAUCAUGUGACUUGUCUCUACAACUAUUGUAUACUUGGA
rnacentral:lncRNA from 1 species